AUUGAAGAUUCGAACACGAAUUUCUGAAGAUUUGUCACCAUGGGUGCCUUAACUAUCAAUAGCUGUAAGCGUCGUAACGAUUAUCUUAACUUAAAUUAUGCGGACGGAGGAAGGCUUAAAGUCUAACUUUCGGAAGGACUCUCUGAGGAUUGCAGCUUAGAUGUACAACCUGUAAUUAAGUACAGACAAAAUGGCGUUAUCUUUUAACACAUGGAAGUAGAGAGAACUCAAUCACUCAUUCAGAACACCACCAAGCUGGUUGGAGAUUUCUUCUCCUGAGGUUGCUGUUGGAAUCCACAAAGACAAUAUUGAUCCUGUUCUAAAACAUAUCAUCUUAUGUCACGGCGUUGGUUUGCCCAUGCUUCUCCUACUCUUUUCAAUGCAAGGACACCAAGGCCUCAAUUGAGUAGAGGCUUCCAUGUGUGCAUGAUAGAGGACAAUAUUGAAGGAAUAUACGACACUUUGAAGGAGUGUGCUGUUAUUAGUAAAUCUGCUGGAGGAAUUGGAGUUUCUGUACACAACAUCGAUGCCACUAGUCUUAGCUUUGAAGGAUCUUUCUCUGGAUGGAACACUGGCUCCUGAAAUUUGUAAUCUUUUGUACACGAAGUUGAUAUAGUGUCACUGGGUAGGAGAAAGUUCAGCACAGAUUUUCAGACUGCUAAAGGCGUUGAUGUUCUUUGGAUUUAUAGUGACGGUUAGCAUCCUCUUUAUGUUUGUGAAUCUUAAAGUUGGUGACAUCUUUGCGAGCAAAGAGCACAACAGCUGAUCCAAAUGCAUUGAUUGAUGAAUGGAGAAUACACAAGAAGCAAGUUAUGGCUUCAUGACCUUGCUGGAAGUGAGAGAUUAGCCAAGCCAGACGUUUAAGGAGAUCCGCUGAAAGAAACUCAAAUUAUUAACAGAUCCUUAUCUGCACUGGGAGGUGUGAUAGCAGCGCUGGCGACCAAAAUCCCACAUAUUCCUUUCAGGAAUUCAAAGCUCACUCACUUGCUCCAAGAUUCUCUAGG